UGGGGAAUAUUGCACAAUGGAGGGAACUCUGAUGCAGCGACGCCGCGUGAACGAAGAAGGCUUUCGAGUCGUAAAGUUCUGUUAUAUGGGAAGAUAAUGACGGUACCAUAAGAAAAAGCCCCGGCUAACUACGUGCCAGCAGCCGCGGUAAUACGUAGGGGGCUAGCGUUGUCCGGAAUCACUGGGCGUAAAGGGUUCGCAGGCGGAAAUGCAAGUCAGGUGUAAAAGGCAGUAGCUUAACUACUGUAAGCAUUUGAAACUGCAUAUCUUGAGAAGAGUAGAGGUAAGUGGAAUUUUUAGUGUAGCGGUGAAAUGCGUAGAUAUUAAAAAGAAUACCGGUGGCGAAGACGGCUUACUGGGCUCAUUCUGACGCUGAGGAACGAAAGCGUGGGUAGCAAACAGG
rnacentral:rRNA from 1 species